rnacentral:rRNA from 1 species
UACGAAGGGGGCUAGCGUUGUUCGGAUUUACUGGGCGUAAAGGGCGCGUAGGCGGGCGACUAAGUCAGGGGUGAAAUCCCAAGGCUCAACCUUGGAACUGCCUUUGAUACUGGUUGUCUUGAGUCCGGGAGAGGUGAGUGGAACUGCGAGUGUAGAGGUGAAAUUCGUAGAUAUUCGCAAGAACACCAGUGGCGAAGGCGGCUCACUGGCCCGGAACUGACGCUGAGGUGCGAAAGCGUGGGGAGCAAACAGG